ACUCCUACGGGAGGCAGCAGUAGGGAAUCUUCCACAAUGGGCGCAAGCCUGAUGGAGCAACACCGCGUGAGUGAAGAAGGGUUUCGGCUCGUAAAGCUCUGUUGUUAAAGAAGAACACGUAUGAGAGUAACUGUUCAUACGUUGACGGUAUUUAACCAGAAAGUCACGGCUAACUACGUGCCAGCAGCCGCGGUAAUACGUAGGUGGCAAGCGUUAUCCGGAUUUAUUGGGCGUAAAGAGAGUGCAGGCGGUUUUCAAGUCUGAUGUGAAAGCCUUCGGCUUAACCGGAGAAGUGCAUCGGAAACUGGAUAACUGAGUGCAGAAGAGGUAGUGGAACUCCAUGUGUAGCGGUGGAAUGCGUAGAUAUAUGGAAGAACACCAGUGGCGAAGGCGGCUACCUGGUCUGCAACUGACGCUGAGACUCGAAAGCAUGGGUAGCGAACAGGAUUACGAUACCCCUGGUAGCGACUGA
rnacentral:rRNA from 1 species